rnacentral:rRNA from 1 species
CCUACGGGUGGCAGCAGUGGGGAAUAUUGGGCAAUGGAGGAAACCCUGAUGCAGCAACGCCGCGUGGAGGAUGAAGGUUUUAGGAUUGUAAACUACUUUUGUCAGAGAAGAUAAUGACGGUAUCUCUCGACUAAGCACCGGCUAACUCCGUGCCAGCAGCCGCGGUAAUACGGAGGGUGCAAGCGUUACUCGGAAUCACUGGGCGUAAAGAGUGUGCAGGCGGGCUUGUAAGUCAGAUGUGAAAUCCCGUGGCUUAACUACAGAACUGCAUUUGAAACUAUGAGUCUAGAGUGUGGGAGAGGUAGGUGGAAUUCUUGGUGUAGGGGUAAAAUCCGUAGAGAUCAAGAGGAAUACUCAUUGCGAAGGCGACCUACUGGAACAUUACUGACGCUCAUGCACGAAAGCGUGGGGAGCAAACAGGAUUAGAUACCCUUGUAGUC